rnacentral:lncRNA from 1 species
CAGCAAGUACCGCUUUUCUGGGGGGCAAGAACCCCCCAACCCCUUCUCUCCAUGUCUCUACCGCUUCUCUGCUUUUCUGGGAGGCAAGAACCCCCCGACCCCUUCUCUCUGUCUACCCCUUCUCCACUUUCCUGGGGGGCAAGCACCCCCCACCCCUUCUCUCUGUGUCUCUACCCCUUCUCCGCUUUUCUGGUGGGCAAGAACCCCCCAACCCCUUCUCCCUGUGUCUCUACCCCUUCUCCACUUUCCUGGAGGGCAAGCACCCCCCACCCCUUCUCUCCAUGUCUCNNNNNNNNNNCCUCGGGUCCUCAGACCGACCAGCCAUAUAAGAAGACAGGAAUGUCAGGCCUCUGAGCCAAAGCUAAGCCAUCAUAUUCCCUGUGACCUGCAUGUACACAUCCAGAUGGCUGGUUCCUGCCUUAACUUGAUGACAUUCCACCACAAAAGAAGUGAAAAUGGCCUGUUCCUGCCUUAACUGAUGACAUUACCUUGUGAAAUUCAUUUUCCUGGCUCAUCCUGGCUCAAAAGCUCCCCCACUGAGCACCUUGUGACCCCCACCUGUGCCAGCCAGAGAACAA